UGCUAAUUCGUGAUAUAUGGUAGCUACGUCCUGUUUCCUGCUUAUCUACUGGAAUUAAAUAAAAUUUGUUUUGAUUUUUUGCAUGUACAAGAUGAAAUACGAUACAAAUGUCCCGAGAGAUUUGUACGGCAUUGUGUCCUCAAGAUCUGGCGCGUCUCUGAAUAGUAAAAUCCGAUGUAAAGUUCUCUCAUUCGACGCAUAUCCAAUAUUGCCCGAUGUGCAUGCGAUGUGCUCGUAUCGCUGGGCACCGCUGAAUUUUACAUAAAAUUCAUAUUACAAGGCAGCGGUGGCACAUUGAAAACUCAAAAUUUUCAACAGUUGAAGCUACUUGCGUACAAAAAAAAGAAGACAUACAUAGAACCACCAUGUGUGCAUGAAUUUAAAUUAGUUUCUGCUGAAAAUCUAAUUUCGACCAAUCUCUGAGAUUGCACUCAAAUUGAUCAAUUAAUAUUUAAUACCAAGUUAAUUACAAAAAUAAAUUAAUAAAUAUGUACAUAAUGAAAA